CUUAAGCCAUCCCUGACACAGUGUCGUGUAGAUUUUGUUCUGCUCGGUACAGUUGUUUGACAGGUGAACUCAGGAACAAACUGCAGAUACACUGAGGACAGCACACAGGGUUAUCACAGAAGACCACCUGGACAUGGAUCACCUGUUUGUGCUGCUGCUGCUGUGCAGCUCUGGACUCCAGGCUGAAGGAGAACUAACAGAGUCUGUGAGGUUGGUGGGAGGAAACAGUCGCUGUGCAGGAACACUGGAGGUGAAACAUCUGGGAGAAUGGAGACCAGUGGAGGGUCACAGUGCCUGGAC